AGGGUUACCAUUGGACCAAUGAACUUAGGU
rnacentral:piRNA from 1 species